UCUCCCGAGCACUGGUCCACUACUACCCUCUCGCCGGCCGCCUCGCCGGCGACGACUACGACGACGUGCACAUCGACUGCACCGGCGAAGGCGUGACCUUCGUUGCCGCAAACGCCGACUGCACCGUCAAGGAGCUCGUCCGCGACAUCGACUGCCGGUCACCCGACGCCGCGAAGGCGGUUAUACGGGAGCUCAUCGUCGACUACCCGGCGAAUGGCUUCGGCCGCGCCGACCCUCUCGUCCUAAUGCAGGUCACCGCCUUCGCCUGCGGUGGCUUCGUCGUCGGCGUGACGUGGAACCACGGCGCGGCCGAUGGUUUCGGGAUCGCGCAGUUUCUCCAAGCCGUCGGUGAGCUCGCCCGCGGGCUACCGACGCCGGCCGUUACGCCGGUGAGGUGGGACGGGUGGGCGCAGGCGGUGGCCCCUUCCACGGUCAUGGCGUCCAAGCGGUUCAUGUUCGGCGUCAAGGCGCCGACGAGGCUCGCCCUGCACAGCAUCACCAUCCCGGCGAGGACGAUCGACGGCGUCCGAGGUGCCACGGCGUGCACGAUGUUCGAGGCGGUGGCGGCGGCGCUGUGGCGGUGCCGCACCCGCGUGGUGAUGUCCGACCCCGACGCCCCCACCGUGCUCGCCAUCACGGUGAACUCUCGCAAGCACGUCGGCGUCAAGGACGGGUACUACGGCAACUGCGCCACCGUGCACAUGGCGGUGGCGAGGAGCGGCGCGGUGGCGGGCGGCGACAUGACGGAGGCGGUGAGGGCGAUACGGCGCGCCAAGGAGGAGAUACCGGAGAGGUUGAAGAAGGGGGACGUGAUCGGCGAGCUGAGCAAGGAGCAGCUGGGUGGGUACGAGAGCGUGCUGCUGGUGACGUGCUGGAGGAAUAUCGGGUUCGAGGCGGUGGACUACGGCGGCGGGAGGACGGCGAGGGUGAUGACGACGUACGAGCAGGGCCGGGUGCGGCCGAUGUGCGUGGUGUGUUUGCCAUGGCAAGGGGAGGAAGAGGAAGGAGCCCGGGUGCUGUCCGGCUGUGUCACGCCUCACCAUGCCGACGCAUUUCUCCGUGAAAUAGCUACGCUCUGAUCUGCACAUAAAUGAUACACUCUUAUAAGUCGUUUUACUUUUUUCCUUGACCAAGUUUAACCAAAUUUAUAAAAAAAUAUAUUAAUAUUUUGCACACAAAACAAACAUAUUAUCAAAAUAUACUCAAUAUUAGAUUUUCUCAAACUAAUUUGAUAUUUGAGUUGUUGCUAAAUUUUUUUAUAAACUUGGUCGAACUUGACUAGCAAAAAUUUCAAACGACUAUAAUAUUAAACGGAGAAGGAGAGUAAUAAUUUUAUCAAUUUAUUUGUUAUAUAUGCUGUUAAUUAAUCGUUGUUAUUAAUUAUAUGCUGUUAAUUUGUUAUAUAUACGAUGUUGGUAUAUUCAGUCACGUAUGAGUACUGAAAUUUCAAUUAUUCUAUGACGGUUCAGAUCAUGCCCUGAUUUCUGCACCUAUCUUCCGGGCCGUCAUGGUUGAGGAAGAAACCGGAGGGUGUUCGUAGCAAACGCCCUAAGGUAUAGAUGGCCAUAAAACCCGCCCGUCAUAGUCUGGCCCAGGCACGGCCCGGUCGACAUUACGUGCCGAGCUGUGCCGGCCCAUGUGCUGCACCUCCGCCCAGGCACGGCCCACCAGCAGUCGGGCCGUGCCGUGCCGGCCCGAAGGCACGGGUGGUCUAUCGUGCCCUAUUUUAAAUAAGUCUAUUUCCCUCCCUCCUCUUUGGGAUGACAUAUAUAUAUAUAUAUACAUAUAGAGAGAGCGCUAAAUAAGUCUAUUUUACGUCCCUAUUCUUUGGAACGUGACAUAUAAUGUGUCUAUUUUUACUCCCUAUUCCUUGUGUGCCGGGCCUGGCUUGCCGGCCCAACGUAUCGGUGGGGAAGCCCAGACACGGCCCGGUGGUCGGGCCGGGCCAGCACGGGCCCGACCCCUAUCGGGCCGUGCCGUGUUUGGGCCGGACCAAAAUAUCGUGCCGUGGGAUGGGCCUUAUGGCCAUCUAUGCCCUUAGGAUCUAAAAUAUUGUAGCUGACAAGGAACUCCAUGAGAGGUACAUCGACGAGUUUAUACAGCAGCUUGUUUCUCACGUCGCGGAUAGCAGCUGCAACACUGCUGCCCGAGUUCCUUCCAGUUCUAGCUGAGACUAUAUUUUGUCUCUGUUACUGUAAUUGAUGUUAUCGUAAUGGCUACGCGCAUCACAUGUUGAUGUAAAGAAGGCGUGGGGUUACUCUACCCUUUACAUCGCUCGAUCUUCCUUGUCCCCAUGUAUUGUUUACUCCAAUAAUUAUUAAUGGUUCAAGUUUCAGCCAGAUUGAACUGUUUAUUUUCUUUUGAACCCUGCGCAAAGUCGCCCCUGCAAUGGCAGCUCGUGGGCGAAAACCUAGCCACCGCAGACCCGCUCCACCCAAUCCCCCGUCUUUGCGCUGCUGGCCAACCACGCAGCGAGCCGAGAUGAUGGUGGUGAGGCCGGGUGGUGGUAGGGGAGAGAUCUGGUGGAGUUCCGACACAAAUCUCAAAUCAAAUAAUAGUUUAGAAUUUGUAGGAUUGUAGAGAAUGUUUUCUGUCAAAUGUCAAGUACACAGUAAAAAAACAAACCUUCUUUUUCUGUCUUACAAAAUUAUGCAAAAUUCAUUUUCUUUAUCACUAGUGAAGAAACCCUUUUCUAGGUGCCUCAUAACCUAUUUAUAUUGGUAUUUCUCGACCCGUAUUAGAUAAGGGUGUACAAAUAAUGACAAAAUUUUGUAUGUAUCCAUGAGUUUUCACUGAAUUUUAUCUCAUUCUCUACCCCUCCGAGCACUAUUUUGGACGGUUUUGGGCUAGGCUGGAUAACAUGACAUUCCAGUGUGGCAAAAAGAAAUUUUAAAAAAUAAUGGGCCACCAAUCAGUGCUCCAUAUCUCCUCCCAUAUUCUCUUCUACUUCCUUCCCAUCCAUUUCUAUCUCUACCCUUGAAACAAAGCAGGGUGGCAGCGAUAGCGGAGGAGGGGAUCGAGCUUAUCAGUGAGGAGCUCUCUCUCUCUCUCUCUUUGGUGGAGGCGGCUAUAAGCUCAGGUCCGAUGUGUUGGGAGGAGGCACCUGAAGGCUCAGGCUAGUUGCGGUGGUCGACAGUCAAAGCGGUCGAAGAAGUCUAGGGUGGUGGUGGAGACUGGUGUCACGCCCAGAAAUUUAGCCCAAAUUUUCAAACUAUUCUGUGUAUUAAAUCCCUGUCCAGGACCAGCCAGGGCAUACAAAACGACAAAUUAAUAUGCAGAUCCAAAUGUAAAUAAAGCGUAAAUACUUACAGAAAAGGCACUUAGUCCUCACACCGAAAAGAAAGUAACAGUAGUGGAAAAGGCGAUCCUAGCGGGGCUUCAGCUCCACUCCGCAGGCAAAACUCAAUUGGGGUCUGAGCCUUGGUCCUCUAACUUCUUCAUUAGUUCAGAAGCACUACAUUUUUGAAAAGGAGGAACAAUAGCAAGACUGAGUACAACCACCGUACUCAACAAGCCACACCAACGAUGCAGACGUGCAAGAGAAUAUAAGGAUGGUUUGUGGCUAUUUGCAUAAAGGCAGUUGUAAAACAUUUUAUUGAGCAAAAAAGUAAAACUGUUGAUUAAUUAAGGUAGCAUUAAAUCUCCACUGAUCAACGCUACACCACGUUGAAUAGGCCCAACCAACCCACCUGAACUACAGUGCAUUUAGUCGAUUUAUUAAGUGUGAGACUAAUCACAGUGAAUCUGGUCGAUCGCCCAUAACUGCGGGCACGGCUAUUCGAAUAGUUUUACUCUGGCCAGUGGUGCACAACUGUACCCAGAAGACACAAUCCACCGGCAUGUCACCGCGUCAUCAUGCACCCAUGAUGAACACGUCACCAUGUCGAGUGAUUGUGACAAGACCCUUCAUAUAACCCCUCUGACCAAUCGCACCACACCUCAGGUUUCACCCCCACUCCUCACAGGCAGCGGGCAAUCCCCCCUCAUGCCUAGGUGAAUCCGGAAGCGACAAAGGCCGUCGCAGGACCCAUCCCGCUCCAUCACGCCCACCCUUGCCUGGAUGCGUCAGCCAGAGAAAAACUAUACUUCAAGUCAGGCAGUUACCCAUUCCCUCUUGUGGCAAGCGCUGUAAGUCUUCUAGUGCAUCCCGCGAACCGGUCCUUAAUUGCCAUAGGUGCGACCAGUAAAACCAUGCACUCAUGGCCCACCAUUCAGUCACAUUUUAGUUGGAUGAUUACGACCAAUGAAACAUGGUCUGGUGUCAUGAGCAUGUAGCUCGUUCUGAUACUAAAAAGGUGUAAUACUGCAAUUAUCCCAUCGACUGAGCUAGUGGGAAUUAAGCAUGGCUAAGCAUAUAGUUCUAGCUAGGUCAUCAUAAGUAACACAAGCUAGGCGAUUUAUUACCCACGGUUGACAAAGGACAGAUAUCAAGUAAUAUGGCAUAAGCGAGCAGAUAGGUAAUACCCGGAUCCCAUGUAAUUAGGAAAACAUGCAUAUUUAUUUGCAAACGGUAAAACAUUUGUAAAGUAGGAUCAAAAUGCUCAAGAGGAGUGGAUGACUUGCCUUUCUUCUUCAAACGAUCUUUUGAACUCUUUUCUUCGCGACCGCGGACUUCCGAAACGAUGGAAACUACACGCUGGCACGCAAAACGAGGAAAAACUCUAAUAAAAACCAAGGAAACAGUACAUAAAAAGUAAACAAACAUGUAGAUCUCAAUUUUAGAUGAAUUUUGCAAGUUGAAUGGCCCAAUUUUGAGCCAUUAAAUGAAUUUAUAAAAUUAUUAACCGAAAUUAUUGCGCAAUUAAACUGAUUUAUGAUGUCACAAGGGGGAAGGGGUGGCGCCGACAAGCGGGCCCCACCUGUCGGUGGCUGAAGGGAGGCAGGUGCAUGGUGGACCGGGUCCACGCGUGCACUUGUCCGCGGGCGCACUACGUGGCAGCCACAUGGCGGCCACGGCGGACGGGGAGGGCGAGGUGGCGCCGACGUGGCGCCACGAGGGCACCUUCGUGGGGCAACACGUGGACGACCCAGAUCGGCCAGAGCAGCCGAUCGGGCGGCCACGGGCAAGUGCGGCACGGCAAGGGGCCAGGUGGCCAGGGGCGAGCAGGGCAGCGGCAGCCGGCCAGAAGGCGGCGGCGCUCAGCCAUAUGGUCGCCGGUGGUGGGCGGCGGCGACACACACGGGAGGCGGCGUGGAAGGGAGAGGGGGCUCACCAAGAGGACGGGGAUGGUGAGGCAAAGACGGGAAGGCGACUGACGACGAGGAUUGGCGGCGGCGUUUCUCGGGUUGGGGUCGGGGACGGCGCUUCGGCGACUCCCGACCGCGGCAGAGGUGCGGCCGAGGGCCAGCGGGACCUGGGGAGCUAAGAGGAGGGGUUAGAGGAGGGAUAGGCGUCGCGGCACGGCGAGGAACACCGGUGAGCACGGCGUUUGCGGCGGGACUCACCGGUGAGCGAGGGGAGACGGUUACGGUGGCUCCCGGCGGCGGAAGACGGCGUUCAGGCGUCGGCCAGGGAAGAACGUGACACGGCGAAGCCGGCGUGUCGCGACGGUGGCCGAGGCAGCACGGACGGUGGCGGCUCAGGUUGGCAGUGGAGAGGGCGGCUUGGUGGCCGAUUGGAGGAACGAGGCGGUGGCCGGUGCUUGGCUUGGAGCGCUGAAGCCGACAGUGGCGGUGGCGCGGCAUGGUGGUGGUUAGGGCGGCGGUGGUGGCCGGCUGAAGUCGGCAAUGUGGUGGUGGAGCUCAGGUUGGUGGUGGGAGCAGCUUUUCGGGGGUGGAAAAGGAAAACGGAGUGGAGGCCGGGGUGGAGCUCAGCGGGGCGAAGCCGAGGGUGGUGGCGGCGCGGCCCGGCGGUGGCUAGGGCGGCGGCAGCGCACGACCGAGGGUCGCCGGCGAACGGUGGCGAUGGGUAGCGGCGCGGGUGGGUGGUUUUGGGGCACGGGAGGGCUCGGGAAAAUGGGGAAAAAGGGAGAGCAAGGUGCGGGGAGUCUUUUAUAGGCUCGGAAAGGCGGGAUCGAGCACGGGGGAGGCGGCAACCGGCGAUGGAGUGGGGCGCCGGCGACGCGGGGUGGUGGCGACGGUUCGGCGCCGGUUCUUGCGGGGGAAGUAGGGGAGGAGGUGGGGGACAUGGAGGGGGUCGUGCCUAUGCCAGGCGGGAGCGCGCGGGGUGGAGGAGGUGGGCGGGGGAAGCGGCUUCGUGGGGUGGCUCGGGCGGCCAUGGCGGUUGCCGGCCCAGGCUGGAGGAAGGGGAUGACAGGUGGGACCGGCGAGAGGGAGAGGGGAGGCCGGUUGAGGGAGAGGAAAUAGACUUUGGGGGGAAAGGGGGCUGAGCGGGCUGAGGGAGGGGAGGACUUGGGCCGAGCCCGAAAGGAAGGAAGUGGAAUUUAUUUGCUUUUGUUUUUAUUUAAAUUUAUUGAAUGUUCUUUGUGUGUUUAUAAAUACUUCUUGAGCUCCGAAAAUUUACAAAAAAAUCCGGUGAGUAAAUUAAGGCAUAAAGAAUAUUACAAAAUAUUCCCGGCCAAUGAUUUUUAAAGGAAAUUUUUAAUCCCCUCAAUAAUUCAGUUGAUUAAAUUGAUUUAACUUUUAUUUAAUUUCUAGAAAAUAUAUUAUUUAAUGAUUUUUAAUCCCGAACGAAAAUCGGGGCGUUACAACUGGUCCCUCAGGGCGCCGGUGGUGGAGCGUGGUCGAUAGGAGAAUCCCAGGUUAGCAGCGGCCUCAUAUCCAAAGGAAAGGCGAAGGCAAUCAGGCCAUGUCUGUGCCGGCAUGGGAGGAGGUCAAGCCACGUGCCAACAUGGGAUGAAGCGGAGCACUGGUUGCUAUAGGGCCUGUUUGGAGAAGCUUAAUAUUCUGAGAAGCAGGUGCUGAGAAGUUAGCUGGUGAGAAUCUGGAGAAGCUGUGAAACCCAGCUUCUGGCUUCUAGUUCAUUUUCCAGAUUCUACAACUACAGUUUCUCAGAAUCUGGAUAAAAAGUUGGAUUGUUUGGGGGAGCUUCUGGACCUUCUGGGCCAUAGUCCAGAAGCUCUCCCGCUGCCUUCUCCUGUUUGUGAAGCAUGUAGGGGCCACCGUUGCGGUUGCUAGCUAGGAGCUCCUAAGGCACAGUCUGAGCAUUGCCUCCACCUUCUCGUCUUCCCAUCCCCACGACUUCGCCCUAAGGUGUCAUCACCACCUUCGUGCGAGCUCUUCCACCAACGCCUCCCUGUGAGCUCUACCUCCGUAUUCGCUGCAGCUGUGGCGAGGGCGCUGUUGGGCAUGGCCAGGGUGCGCUUGCGCGAUGGCGAAGGAGAAGGCCUGCUGGCGGCGGUAGCAUCAACAGCUAGCCAAGCUCAUGGAGCUCCCUCCCUCCCCUCCCAAUUCCAAUUGGCCCUCGCCGCCUCCGCUCACCGAGAGAGGGCAGCGAAGGGGGAGAGGAAAAAGAGCAGUGAUGACAACUGGGCCCUAAUUUGCAAAAUGAUUACACGACAUAUAGAUCACCCAUCCAACACUAGACGAUUUGAUUUCCUCCAACCAAACAACAUAGUGUUGACGGUUGUUAGCGAUCAGUUUCGCCCAUCAAUAUUAUUAAAAUAAAGGAAAACUAGUUAUGCUUACAAUGCAUAUUCAUGUCAAAAUAAAAUAUAUUCCAUUAGCACUAGGUUUUCUAACCUUUUGGAGAGAAUGAUCAUAAAUGAAGGAUAAGUGACAGCAAAACAUACGAUCAAUCAAUCAGACACUAUCAAGAAACAGACUUAUGGACAAAUGGGUUGAGAACACCAUUUUCACAAGAUCCAACAAGCCCAAAAUUCACAAGUUUGCGGAGAGGAGCAAACGGGGAGGCCACCUGCCAAGAACUGGGCUGGUUGGGCCAGCCUAGGGUUCGGCCGAACCAGCCGCAGCGCCGAUGGAUGCAGGGUUUCGCUGGAUGGUUGGGAUUGAUCCCCAAUGACAGUUGGAGGGUAUUACUGACCUUUCUAACCGUCAUAACCGUCAUUACCAGCCUAUAUAAACCCCUCACUCCCUCCAUUUCUUCACACACCUCAAGCAAGAAGAAUCAAGCUUUCUCUCUAGUUUAGUAGUGCUCUCAAGCUAGUGGAGUAGGAAUAAAAUAGGAGUCUUAGUCCGAGAAGUCUUCGGAGGAAUUCGGGUAUGACUCUAGUAGCUUUACUUUCUUUUGUAAUACUUAUACUUUUAUUAGAAUAUUCUUCUUUAUACUACUCUCGUAGAAUAUAUGAGUACCAACUUUAUCAUACAUUCAAACUAUAUUGAUUAUGAUGCUAGCUUAUCUGGUAAAUGCAAUGGUGUGGGUAUAAUGAUCGUGCAUACCAUUGUUCUAUGUCAUGACGAUGAUAUUAGAGUAGUAUUUCGUAAUUUAAGCGUGGUGUUUAGAUUACUGGAUAUCGUUAUUUGGGGUUAUAUACUGCGAAUACGUUGAGGUGGGCCGCUGAUGGUGACAGCUCAAUACGGGUAUUCCUCCGCGCGUGUAUAUAGUCCUAAGUUACUUUCCUGGGGAGGGUACUCCUCCGUAUUUAGCCCCGGUUAGAUGGUCAGGGCGGAUUAUCAUAAGAAACUCGACAAUCAGGGGUGACUUCUCGAAGCACCAAGAGGGCAUUGGAAAGAGAGUGUUAGCUAAGUAAUCAUAUAACUUUACUUGGAUGUAUGUAUAUUAGAAGUAUAGGAAUAGAUUCUUUCUAUUCUCUUCGCACUUAGCUUAGAUAAUUUAUUAUGAGAGUAUAUAAUUCUCUUGUUGUGUGUCAUUCUACCCUAUUCAUAAUCUUAACACCUGUUUCCCUCUAAAAAAAAAAAUCUUAACACCUGCUUAGACUUUGAUUAUUACAAGUAAUAUAUAAAUUAUUAGUAUAGUUCUCUCUAUUAUAAUCUUCCCAUGGGAUUAAAUAAAUACGAUACCCUUGUGUUAACGACCAAAAUUCAUAAAUCAUAGAUUGGAUCCGAUGUCAGAACCGAAACGGAUUUGGAGAAGAUCUGUAGCCUCAGAAACAGAACCCGCAUCGGCUACGAGUUGUAUCGGCUACCGCCUUCAUCGGCUGUUACCAGAUCAGACAAGGAGGAGCCGAUGUAGCCGAUCCUGGCAAGACAAUCAUGGGAUCAUUACCGACGGCAGUUCAAGUGCCGUGCAAGUAUUGCCAAGCAUGGAUUGUGGCCAGAGAAAGCAAUUGAAUCUAUUAAUUAGGAUAUUCUAGUAGUUUCAUUAUAGAUAUUUUCGGUAAGAGUCCGCCUGAGGGACUUGUUCGUAUUUUUGAGUUGUAAUAGAGAUAGAGUCGUGUUCGGCAAGGACAUAUCAUGUAUUUUGGGUAUAAAUAUGACCCGGGACCCUGUAAAUAAACAAUAUCAGUUCAAUAACAUUUUCGGCGCAUCGCCACCAUUUUCUAUUUUCAUUGUUUCGACGAGUUCUUGCUUUCGAGUUGGGCUGCAUCGGUUUCGAUCUCCGACGAAAAGGUAAAGCUUGUUAUGGCAGCUUGCGUUCUUGGGAUUAGUGCUUACAUCUUUAUGACACCAGGCAAUCAGGGGUGGCUUCUCGAAGCACCAGGAGGGUAUUGGAAAGAGGGUAUUAGCUAAGUAAUCAUAUAACUUGGAUGUAUGUAUAAUAUGUAUGUAUAUUAGAAGUAUAGGAAUAGAUUCGUUCUAUUCUCUUCCCACUUAGCUUAGAUAAUUUAUCAUGAGAGUAUAUAAUUCUCUUGUUGCGUGUCAUUCUACCCUAUUCAUAAUCUUAACCCCUGCUUAGACUUUGAUUAUUACAAGUAAUAUAUAAAUUAUUAGUAUAGUUCUCUCUAUUAUAAUCUUCCCACGGGAUUAAAUAAAUACGAUACCCUUGGAAUAUUCUCGGAUAAAAUGCUACAAUGGUAUAUCCGUGCGCAUGUGGAUGAAGUCUAUAACCAUAAUAUACCAAGAGUGUUUCUACACCAUUUCUGGGAAUUAUAUUUCUAGUAAUGUCGUUAAGAAAUACAACACAUAGUAGCUUAGAUCUUCAAGACUUGCACACAGACUAUUAUCAAGUACUGAUUAAGAAAACCAACUUUAGAGCUGACCUCAUGCAAAUUGCGAGAAUACCACUACAAGAAAUUUGGCCUUCUAUGACAAAUUUCAUAUGACAAAACACAUUUUAGUCACAGUAUUGAUGCGUUUAUGACAAUUUUUCUUUGGAUGACAAGCGUUUGUGACUAAGUUAUAAUUUAGUCAUAAACAAAUGUCACCAUGUGCCUUUCCCAUUCUUUGUGACAAUAGUUCAAGACAAAAGCUCAAAAACAAGGUGAGGAGAUUGAGAACCUAAAGAAGGCAAUAAUAGAUACUCAGAAGGCAGCAGCAGAUACUCAAAACCUCAUUCGAGAGAUGAUAGCAUUUGAACAGACUCAGGUCACUCAUCAGACCACUCCUCCUUGACUUGGCUGCGCUUAGGUACACAUCUUCAUCUUGUAAUAUGCUUCUUCUGACAUAAUGCAGUUUCUAUUUCUUGUUCUUAGACCUCUCAUUUUUUUUGAUACUAUCAGUAGUAUUGUAUGAUAUAGUUAGAUACUGGAAUCAAAUGAACUUAGGUACUGUUUGGAAUCAAAAUCUCUACUACAAUGACUUUCUAUAGUUCCAGGACUCAUGAGGCUGAAUAAAUAAAACCAUUGGCAAAUAUAAUUUCCGAAAGGUUGCUGCUCCUAGGGACUACUAGAUUCUUGAGCUUGUGUUUAUUUCUUACAAGUGUUACCUCCUAAAACACUGUUCUUUGCAGGCUGUUGGACUCAUUUUGGUGAUCUGUGAAUGGAGUUUGGUGUGACUGUGACUGGAGUUUGACACCACGUGUUUUGCUUUUGGCAUGACUGGACUGGAGUGUGGUUGUUUCUGUUAGUGAUCUCGUGAUGACAAAAACUUUGUGUAUGCUAUUGUUGCCAUGACUGAAACUCUAAGUGGAGUGGUUGCUGCAGUUGGUGAACGGGCGAUGAUUGGAAGUUGCCAUUUGCUGUUGCCUUGACUAGAAUGAUUUUGAUGGAUUUAUGUUUGGUAUUAUUUAUUAGUGACUUGGUGAUCUGUUGGACUUGUAGGACUUUGAUGGACGUAUUUUGUUGUGAUUCAUUUGUAUGGAUGGUGAAUGUUUGGAACUAUGUGUGUACAAUUAUAUGGCUGUAUGAACCAUUAAUUUUGGAGGACAUGAUCUAUUUGGAUGUCUAAUUAUUUUUGUUAUAAAAUUGUAAGUUGUUUAUUACUUAUGAUGAUUCCUUAAAUGAGCUUGGGCUACAAUAUCAGCAGUAAAAUGGGCGGCUGAAAUAGUACUGGGCUUACAUGAAAAAAAUAAAAAGGCUGUUGAGAAAUGGGCCAAAAUUGGUUGGCUGGCCCAUAGGCUAGUUAGGCUUAUUUGAUUUAUAAUUUUAAAACCAGCUCAUGUUAUAAAUGGGCCAAAUUUGUUUUUGUGACAAUUAUUUUUGUCAUACUCCACAUGCCAUGUCACACGCCACGUCAUAUGCCACAUCAGAUGACUAGACACUUGUCAGCAUCCCAUCUAAUGUAUUAUGACAAAUAUAGUGACAAAUACCAUUGUCAUAGACCAGUGACAAGCAUGCAAUUGUCACUAUGAUUAAUGACAAUUGGGUUUAUUAGUCAUAGAAGGAGGAUAAUGACAGGGAUUCAAUGACUAUAGUUAUUUUGUCACUAGUGUGUCAUAGAAAGGGUACAAUGACAAUUAAUUAGUCAUAGAAGGCCUAAGCUCUUGUAGAGUUGUGAUGGCUAGCUAUUGUUUUUAGGGUUAAUUGGAUCCAUGCCACUACAAAUAUGCCAAAUUAGAAAAAAUCACUACUAUUCGCGAUAUCGGCUGGGUGCCACUAAAAUUUAGGGAAAUUGGAUCCAUGCCACUCCAUCGCGUUUUCCAUCCACUCCCCAUCAUGUCUCUCUCUCCCUCUCACACCUAUAGUAUAUACAUGGUGUCGGUUUUAUUUUGUUUUUUAUCUUUUGAAGGAGAAAAGCACUAUAAGUGCCGGUUUUAGCUAUUCCGGCAACAAUAAUGCCGACUUGUAUGCGUCUUUUUUAAUAGUGUUUUGAAAAAUGAAUCUAUAUGAUUUUUUUAAGCAACUUGUUUUUUAAAAAACGUACCGUUUAACAUUUUGAAAAGCGUGCGCGCGGAUAAAGAGGAGAGUGGAUUCCCUCUAGGUGUCGAACUCUAGGGGAGUGUGGAUCGUCAUGGAGAUCGUCGGGCCUGAUAACCUGAUGUAGUUGAUGAUGUUGUAGCUUUGCCAAUUGCCAGUAGUUUGAUCUUUGGGUGCUGCAGCGCUGUGUAGGAUAACAAUUAACAGUACAUAGUGAGUAGUAUGUUUAUCAGCGCAAUCUCUUCUAGACUUGCACACAAACUAUUAUAUAUCAAGUAUCAUUAAAAAAAACACUUUAGAGCUGACCUUAUGCAAAUUGCGCGAGUGGCUUGUGUUUUUAUCAGUCCACUUUACAGCUGAUUAUUAACCUUCAUACACAUUGCAGGAUUGACUCGUAUUAAUCUUAUUUGAGUUGGUGGUGUUUGGUGGUUAGAACCUCCCUAGAAUCGAUGCGUGUGCCUCGGAAGCUGGGUUUUAGACUUCUGUAUAUAUUUUAUAUUUCUGGAGUAUAUAUAAUACACGUCCCGGCAAUAAUUUUUACUCGAUAAAAAAAAUCCCAAUUUGCACCAUCAUCUACUUAUAAAUGAAAAUCCAUGGAUUUCUACGUGCUACAUCGAUCAGCUCGCAGAGAGUUGCAGGCUAAAGCAUAGAGAAUCGAGAAUGUGCAUCGUGGUGACCAAGUCGCCGCCGGAGAUCGUCCGGCCAUCGGAGCCGGUGACGACGACGGCGGCGACCGGCAAGAUCAUUUUCUCGCCUUUCGACAAGCCUCUUGCCACCGUACCGGUGGUAGUGUUGCAGGUGUUCGAGCAUCCGAUCCAUGAGCCCGUGGAGACCAUCAGGAGGGGCCUCUCCCAUGCACUGGUCCACUACUACCCUCUCGCCGGCCGCCUCGCCGGUGACGAUUACGACGACGUGCACAUCGACUGCACCGGCGAAGGCGUGACCAUCGUCGCCGCGUCUGCCAACUGCACCGUCAAGCAGCUCAUGCGCGACAUCGACGGCCGAUUACCUGACCCCUCAACGGCGGUUCAACGGGAGCUCAUCGUGGACGACAACCCGGCCUACGGCUUCGGCCGCGCUGACCCUC
rnacentral:lncRNA from 1 species